rnacentral:rRNA from 1 species
CCUACGGGCGGCUGCAGUGGGGAAUAUUGCACAAUGGGCGCAAGCCUGAUGCAGCCAUGCCGCGUGUGUGAAGAAGGCCUUCGGGUUGUAAAGCACUUUCAGCGGGGAGGAAGGCGUUAAGGUUAAUAACCUUGGCGAUUGACGUUACCCGCAGAAGAAGCACCGGCUAACUCCGUGCCAGCAGCCGCGGUAAUACGGAGGGUGCAAGCGUUAAUCGGAAUUACUGGGCGUAAAGCGCACGCAGGCGGUCUGUCAAGUCGGAUGUGAAAUCCCCGGGCUCAACCUGGGAACUGCAUUCGAAACUGGCAGGCUAGAGUCUUGUAGAGGGGGGUAGAAUUCCAGGUGUAGCGGUGAAAUGCGUAGAGAUCUGGAGGAAUACCGGUGGCGAAGGCGGCCCCCUGGGCAAAGACUGGCGCGCAGGUGCGAAAGCGUGGGGAGCAAACAGGAUUAGAUACCCGAGUAGUC